UAGUUAGUUAGUUGGUUAGUUAGUUACUAAAUUUACAUCCCACUCACCUCAUUAUCCCAAGCAUCUCCGGAUAGCUUUAUAGAGUUAUGAUGGAUGUAAUGGAAUUUUUUCCAAGAGAAAAAAUGAAUUUCCCAACUUUUCCCUAGGGCAAGAUUCUGGCUCAGAAGUAAAGGUAAAGGUUCCCCUCGCACAUAUCUGCUAGUCGUUGCCGACUCUAGGGGGCGGUGCUCAUCUCCGUUUCCAAGCCGAAGAGCCAGCGCUGUCCAAAGACGUCUCCGUGGUCAUGUGGCCGGCAUGACUCAACGCCAAAGGCACACGGAACACUGUUCCCUUCCCACCAAAGCCAUCCAAUACCUCCCUCCGUGCAAGCUAAACCAAAGAAAAUCCAGACUUCGGGCCAAGCUAGAAAACAACUCCGAGUACACAAUUUUGAAGAAGCCCGCUUUUAUUUCAGGCUGAAUUUUCCAUUGUCCUCCUUUGAAAAAAAGCUCAUCAGGAGCCAUUGGAGCCAUUAAAAGAGAGGAAGGGGAUUUUUUUUAAAAAAAGUCAUGAUGGUAAUUGAUCAUUUCCAGACAUAUGGACAUCUAUUUGAAGAUAAUCCUGAUUUUGUCGAUGUUUCUUUUGGACCAGACAUCAUAGACAAUCUUUUUAACGGUUGAGUGAACACCCAGCUGGAAUCUUUUGAGAAGCAUCUCUUCCGUAGAGUCUUCAGAGCAGCGAGAAUGAAACUAAAACAUAGCAAAGAUUUAAUCUUCUCUUAAUCGUAUUAAGCCCUAUCAGGGAAGACUCGGAUUUCAACGUACCGGUAUAUAUUUUCUGUUUAUAGGGUGAAAUUAAUUAAGGAGAAAUAUUAGAGGACGGGAGUAUUUUGACACAAAGGAGCUGAUGAAGGAUCUCGCCAUGAACUUGCUAGUAGUGUCGCUACAAAAUCAACCCUCUUAAACGAACGGCUUCUGAAAAGGCCUCGUACGAUCUGAGAAAUAUAAUAUAUGGAAAGUUAGGAUAUAGCCGGGCAAUAAAUACGUAAAAAUAACAGCGAGUCAGACUUACUUUGCUAUACAAAUGACUAGCUCAAAUGAAUGUGACUCUUUUUUUGCAUUAUGGUUGGUUGCACAGUCAGCCAGAUGUUCAGACUGGAGUUGGCAUUUUGGUCCACUUGUGGAGUCCUUCCCAAGAACAUGGGGUAGACAGAUGUUGUUUGAUGAUGUUAGUUAGAUGUAUCGUCACAGGAUGUUAGCUUUCAAAAAAAGCUGCCUUUUGCAAUUGACUGGUGCUGGUUUUGUCAAUGCCGAUGGUGUUCAAGGGAUGCUGUCGGUCUCCGCUUUAUUUAAGUGUAUUUCUCCUACUAGACUGUCUUACUGUUUUAUUACUUCGUUAAAGGUUUUCUUCUUACUGAAUGUCUUACAUGAUUUAUGGAGGAGGGGGGGAGGUUUGUACUGUUGCCAGCAUUCCGCUGACAUUGCAUGUGUGUGUGGGGGGGGAGAUAGUCUUUCAAACAGACGUUUGAACUAAUUUGGCACGUGAAUGUAACGGGAGUUGCCUGCUUCGCAUUCCAUCCAGAAGAUUGAUAGAGGGAGAAUAUCGGAAUAUCAGAAGUGAAACUACACGUGGCCAAGGAGGAAGACGACAUUGGAUUAUAACUGUUUGAACUCUAGUGGGAGAAGGGUUCAGGAGAGGAUAUGACGUCUGUGUUUUUAAUAUACUUUCAGUUCUGGCUUAGCUUUGUUUGCUAUCUAGUAAAAAUUACCAAUUUCU